rnacentral:rRNA from 1 species
UAAAGAGAAUCAGUUUGGCAGCUCUAACCUAGACUCUAGAGAGCAAGACCAAUGAGGUAGGAGUCCCGCAGUCCUGCCGCCGCUGUGACGCCUAGUGUGGCCUCAGGUAGCUUGCUUGCAUGUGGCAGAGUCUUCCCGUGUUACUACUUAAGUUGUGUUUUAAGACGACCAUCCUCUGGUUCAUGUUAUGUAGCAGUUGAACCAUUACUAUAAAUACAAGUGAAGUUAAAUACGGUAUCGUCGUUUCCUUGAGUUCUUGUUAGACUGUGAGUGCACAGACGAUUACUGUACACACGUGGCCUACUUACCGGCAGGGUACGAGCGGCGUUGGUACGUGUCGACGUCUUACUUUCACUACCUGUCUUCUUCUUUCCCGCUCCACAAGAUUUUCCAAAAUUUAGUUCGUUCUUCGCAAAACGGUUACCUAAACGUUUCGAUUAUAACGUAAGAGACUUUUAAACCCACCAUGUCAUCCUUACUUGAUAGCAAGUAAGUUCCUACUGCACCAUCAGUAUUACUUUUCUUUCAGUGGUGAGUAACCUCACUCCUCUAUUAGCCUGUAAGUGGGAUGGUAGGUAGAUGAGUAACGACGUCUAUACUACGACCCUAAACCUACUAUGUGGUCUUUGUCUUCUUUGUUAAGAGUUUUAACGCUUUCUCGCUAUAUCUCCGACCGCUAGUUGAGAUUCGAGGUGAAUGUUCCGUAUUUUUUGGCUACGCUCAUCUAACCUGUUACACGGCCUUCUAAAUGUUGGUCUUCUCACCCUUACCUACUAACUCAUGAAGCCGUGACUAAGUUUGAAAGUCUGAAGAUUUGGCCUCUUCUCGGUCUAACAUAACGAGAAACCCUUGAUUGGGUGUGCUUCUUACCUUGUACCUGAUUGUUUCUCAUCGUACUACAAAUACUAGUUUCAUUGACCUUACCUGAGAUCUGGUACCUGUUAAAUCAGAAACGAAAAUUAAUCCUACCGUGUAAGUCAUACAACUUACACACGAUUUAAUAUAAAGUCAAAGUAAACUACCUAUAACCGGUACAUUUGGAACUACAAAAUACAUAGAUGUUAAGAUGUAGUAUAUACGUAAUAAACUGAGUACAUUAACUCACGGACAUAAAAAAAUGCCGACGUCACCCGAU